ACCAAGGGUUCCUGUCCAACGUUAAUCGGGGCAGGGUGAGUCGACCCCUAAGGCGAGGCUGAAAAGCGUAGUCGAUGGGCAACGGGUUAAUAUUCCCGUACUGGUGGUAACUGCGAAGGGGGGACGGAGAAAGCUAAAUCAUCCGGGCGACGGUUGUCCCGGUUUAAGCGUGCAGGUGGACUGACCAGGCAAAUCCGGUCGGUUGUUAACACUGAGGCGUGACGACGAGCCACUACGGUGGUGAAGUGAUUGAUGCUCUGCUUCCGGGAAAAGCCUCUAAGCUCCAGGUUACCAUUAAUCGUACCCCAAACCGACACAGGUGGUCAGGUAGAGAAUACUCAGGCGCUUGAGAGAACUCGGGUGAAGGAACUAGGCAAAAUGGUGCCGUAACUUCGGGAGAAGGCACGCUGGCAUUAGGUGAAGUGGUUUACCCAUGGAGCUGAAGCCAGC
rnacentral:rRNA from 1 species